rnacentral:misc_RNA from 1 species
AUUUACUGCUGAACCGUUGAAUUCUCUGCCAUCAGAUUGCAGAAGUAAACAGCUGUUUCCUAUAGGAUCAGAGAUUCCAGAAACUGCUACUGGAAUCUUCAAUGGUUUUUCAUCUGGUGCAGGUGAAUUGACAUUAGGAAAUGAUAAAGGGAGGAAGGAACUGGAGAAAAGGAGGCGGACGAUUGUAAUUGAUGAUGAUGAUGAGCAGAAUGGUGAAGCUGGAUCCCUCAAUUUGAAGCUUGGUGAACAGUUGUAUCCUGUGAUGGAAGAGGAAGUGGAAAAGUGGGAAGGGAAGAAUGGUAAAAAGACGAAAAUUAGUGGGGUUUCAUCGAAUCGUGCUGUUUGUCAAGUGCAGGACUGUCGAGCUGAUUUGAGCAGUGCUAAAGAUUACCAUCGACGACAUAAAGUGUGUGAGGUGCAUUCUAAAGCAGCAAAAGCUUUGGUUGGGAAUGUUAUGCAGCGUUUCUG